rnacentral:rRNA from 1 species
AUGAACGCUAGCGACAGGCCUAACACAUGCAAGUCGAGGGGCAGCACAAGGAGCAAUCUGAGGUGGCGACCGGCGCACGGGUGAGUAACACGUAUGCAACCUGCCUGUAAGCGGGGAAUAACCCGUUGAAAGACGGACUAAUACCGCAUAAUACUAAAUUACUGCAUGGUAAUUUAUUUAAACAUUUAUGGCUUACAGAUGGGCAUGCGCAUGAUUAGCUAGUUGGAGAGGUAACGGCUCCCCAAGGCAACGAUCAUUAGGGGUUCUGAGAGGAAGGUCCCCCACACUGGUACUGAGACACGGACCAGACUCCUACGGGAGGCAGCAGUGAGGAAUAUUGGUCAAUGGACGAGAGUCUGAACCAGCCAAGUCGCGUGCAGGAAGAAUGUCCUAUGGAUUGUAAACUGCUUUUGCAGGGGAAUAAAGUGCAUCACGUGUGAUGUUUUGUAUGUACUCUGCGAAUAAGGAUCGGCUAACUCCGUGCCAGCCGCGGC